AGAGCGAACGCUGGCGGCAGGCUUAACACAUGCAAGUCGAGCGGGCGUAGCAAUACGUCAGCGGCAGACGGGUGAGUAACGCGUGGGAACGUACCUUUUGGUUCGGAACAACCCAGGGAAACUUGGGCUAAUACCGGAUAAGCCCUUACGGGGAAAGAUUUAUCGCCGAAAGAUCGGCCCGCGUCUGAUUAGCUAGUUGGUGAGGUAAUGGCUCACCGAGGCGACGAUCAGUAGCUGGUCUGAGAGGAUGAUCAGCCACAUUGGGACUGAGACACGGCCCAAACUCCUACGGGAGGCAGCAGUGGGAAUAUGGACAAUGGGCGCAAGCCUGAUCCAGCCAUGCCGCGUGAGUGAUGAAGGCCCUAGGGUUGUAAAGCUCUUUUGUGCGGGAAGAUAAUGACGGUACCGCAAGAAUAAGCCCCGGCUAACUUCGCGCCAGCAGCCGC
rnacentral:rRNA from 1 species